AUAGAGAUUCAUUUGAAGAUCAAAGGUUAGAAUUUUAGAACUAGAUUAGAGCUUAUUCCAAAGAUGUAAGAUUGGUUUUGAUAGGAUUUGAAGAGAGUUAACAAUUGUUAUUGGAAGUCAAAGUUUAUAUUGGUAAUUUGGAAUUUAUGCAAUGAAAUUAGGACUAGCAUUCUUGGCUAAUUCAUAAAAUUGGUAUUUCUUCCAUAGUUUAAAUUUUGAUAGUACUUGGAUAAUUAGAUGUUCUAAGUGUUUGUAAAUUUUUGUGAUAAUUCAAGAAUGCAAUUGGAAGAUAACUAGGUUUUUAUAUAAGAACAUAUAGGAAGUUGGCAGUUUGGGAUUGGAUAGGAUUUUUGUGAUAUCUAAAGAUCUACUAAUUGGAUCAAGGUAAAAUAUGGCAUGGUAUUGAAGGACUUAAAGAUUAAGGUACACAUCAAUUUUGAAUUGAAGUUAAUAGUUGAAGAAGGAGAAAUCAGUGCUGGAACUUUUGCUUCACCUUUUAAGUUGGCAGCUAAGAGACAUUAGUACAAUUCUUGGAAGUUUUUUUAUAAUUUAUAAGUUGAAUUAGGUUGAAAUUUCUUGAGCAUAUAGAAGACUUAUAUUGAAAAUUGCAUGAAAAGUUUUAUAUUAAAUGGAUGGUCAAAUUAGAAGUUACAGCUUGUCAAAGUUCACUAAUUAGGAUUGGGGCUUAUAAAAAAAAUCUAAAUUGCUUAAAUAUGAAAGUAAUAAGAUAAUUGAGGUUUAUGUGUGAUUGAGACUAAUAAGAAGAGUGUUUUUUAGCACUUUUGAAUUGGAAUUUGGAUUAUAUUCUUUUCAU
rnacentral:lncRNA from 1 species